rnacentral:tRNA from 1 species
UGCGUCGUGGAGCAGUGGUUAGCUCGCCAGGCUCAUAACCUGGAGGUCAUAGGUUCGAUCCCUAUCGGCGUAA